UAACAAAAACAUAACUGUAUGAGAUACUAUGCAGCUUUUUCUGCUCCAUGAUAUGUUAAAUAGCCGCAGUACCCUGACUGUGCAAAGGUAGCAUAAUCAAUUGGCUUUUAAUUAAAGUCUGGUAUGAAUGAACGUAUGGGUAAUGACUGUCUAAGGAAUGUUAAUUCAAAAUUAUCAAGUUGGUGCAAAUGCCAACAGGCUUAAAAAAGACGAGAAGACCCUAGAAACUUAUAGUUGAUUUUGCUGGGGCGGCAGAAUUGCAUAUAACCAAUUUUAAUUUACGUGAAGCGACGCAGAAAGAAAAAGUUACUCUAGGGAUAACAGCAUAAUUUUAAUAGUUUGUGACCUCGAUGUUGGACUAGGGAUGUUACCUUCUAGAAGAAGGUAAUUAUGGCUCUGUUCGAGCCCUUAGCCCCUACGUGAUCUGAG
rnacentral:rRNA from 1 species